rnacentral:rRNA from 1 species
UACGAAGGGGGCUAGCGUUGCUCGGAAUCACUGGGCGUAAAGGGCGCGUAGGCGGACUUUUAAGUCGGGGGUGAAAGCCCAGGGCUCAACCCUGGAAUUGCCUUCGAUACUGAGAGUCUUGAGUUCGGAAGAGGUUGGUGGAACUGCGAGUGUAGAGGUGAAAUUCGUAGAUAUUCGCAAGAACACCAGUGGCGAAGGCGGCUUACUGGUCCGGUUCUGACGCUGAGGCGCGAAAGCGUGGGGAGCAAACAGG